rfam:Streptococcus cuniculi strain NED12-00049-6B 4, whole genome shotgun sequence.
CAGCCUGUGCAACCGCUCGAUCAUCGUUUAAGAGGUUUGUCCCACGAUGCUAGGCGAGUCUUCACAAAAAA